ACUCCUACGGGAGGCAGCAGUGGGGAAUAUUGCACAAUGGGCGCAAGCCUGAUGCAGCCAUGCCGCGUGUAUGAAGAAGGCCUUCGGGUUGUAAAGUACUUUCAGCGGGGAGGAAGGGAGUAAAGUUAAUACCUUUGCUCAUUGACGUUACCCGCAGAAGAAGCACCGGCUAACUCCGUGCCAGCAGC
rnacentral:rRNA from 1 species